GACAGAGGGUGCUAGCGUUGUUCGGAAUUACUGGGCGUAAAGGGCGCGUAGGCGGCUCGUUUAGUCGGGUGUGAAAUCCCGGGGCUCAACCCCGGAACUGCAUUCGAUACUGGCGGGCUAGAGACCGGAAGAGGUGGGUGGAAUACCCAGUGUAGAGGUGAAAUUCGUAGAUAUUGGGUGGAACACCGGUGGCGAAGGCGGCUCACUGGUCCGGUUCUGACGCUGAGACGCGAAAGCGUGGGGAGCAAACAGG
rnacentral:rRNA from 1 species